UGUUCUGUCCGUGGGAUCUCCCUGCGACUGCUCUGCCUCAGGCGCGUGUGACCUGGGAAAUCAGAGGACUAUGCUCUGAAGGCAAAGAAGCCAUGGUGGCGUGCCUACAAUAGCCAAGCUCGAAGCUUCGAUGCGUAUCCUCACUCAUCCUCACCGCGACUGCUCGAGGUCUUGCUCGCCCCAUUUUAAAAGAAGAGCGGACUGUGAAGCUAUAUAUCUUACCUGAGACCACAGGGACUCUUCGUCUUCCUUUCCUGCUUGUUACUCCUUCAGCUGUCUCAAGUGUCCUCCUGGAUGAUUUGGGCAAGUAAAGCCCUGGGCCAGCCAGCAGGUAGAGAACAGGCCGGUCUCUCGGCGCAGAACCUGCAAGAUAAGAGGACUCCCACCUUGCCCAGAUUCACAGCAC